UACGUAGGCGGAAAAUUAAGUCAGUAGUGAAUUCCCGCAGCUUAACUGUGGAACUGUUAUUGAUACUGGUUUUCUUGAAUAUAGUUGAGGUAGGCGGAAUGUGUAAUGUAGCGGUGAAAUGCUUAGAUAUUACACAGAACACCGAUUGCGAAGGCAGCUUACUAAGCUAUGAUUGACGCUGAGGUACGAAAGCGUGGGGAGCGAACAGGAUUAGAUACCCUGGUAGUCC
rnacentral:rRNA from 1 species